UACGUAGGGUCCGAGCGUUGUCCGGAGUUACUGGGCGUAAAGCGCGCGCAGGCGGCUGAUCAGCCUGACGUGAAAGUCCUCGGCUUAACCGGGGAGAGUCGUCGGGGACCGGUCAGCUUGAGGGCGGCAGGGGCUGGUGGAAUUCCCGGUGUAGUGGUGAAAUGCGUAGAGAUCGGGAGGAACACCUGUGGCGAAGGCGGCCAGCUGGGCCGGCUCUGACGCUGAGGCGCGACAGCGUGGGGAGCAAACAGG
rnacentral:rRNA from 1 species